UGUAGGAGUGAGCCUGCUCGCGAUAAGGUCGGUAAAUUCAGCAUCACUGCUGCCUGACACACCGCCAUCGCGAGCAGGCUCACUCCCACA
rnacentral:antisense_RNA from 1 species